CUGGCCUCUCUGUUCCGGUAGCCAGAUUCGUUUUCUGAUCUCCGUGCAAACAGAGGAUUCUGAUUUGGGAGAAUGAAUGAGAAGUUGGCAGAGAAUGUACUUAUUCCUCAGAGAAUGCCACUGUGAGGAGGCCAUAUUGAAUUUCAUAGAAUGGAUUUGAGAAUGGAGGACAAGACUGUUUGACCCAAAGCCGGCGCUGAAAGGGAAUAUUUUCAUUUCUACAAGGAGAACGGAAAGUGAGAAGGAGUCCAAAUGUUCACUGGCUGUUUGUCAUGCAGACUUGUCGUGGGUCCCAGCCCUGGAGUCUAGUAAGAGCAAGAGUGAAGAAUGCCCUUUGAAUUUUGGAUGAAGGAGCGUGUUGGGAGACGCCGUGAGAGGUUCCAGGAGGCAUCUGUUAGGGAGAGACCAGUGCGCAGUGGGUUGAAGUCAGAAGGAGACUGCAGACUACUUUCCAGCUAAAUGAUCUCAGCUUGGGGAAUGGUGCCGCCCACAGAGGACGCAUCUUCUGACCUCAACCGAUCUAAUCAAGAUCUUUCACAAGAAUGCCCAGGCUCAUCAUCCGGGCAUUCUGGAACUCGUCAGAUUGAUAGCUGAGAUUGACCAAUACGGUGCCACAGUUUGGGACUGAACAAAAAUAUGCUCACCGGAGUUCUAUUUCUGGAAAAUCUAAUUUGGUAAGACCGACAUAGAGCCUAGAUUUAUCAAGCUUCAAUAAACUUCAAACUAUU